UUGGCAGCUCUGGAAAAUUAAGUUUAUUUAUCUACAGACUAGGUAACUGCACAAACAGGACAGACUUCCCCACACCACCCUAUCAGUAUGCCUCAAGAGCAACCUGGAGAGACCAUUUUUAGGAGUAAAAUGAUAGUUUAGUCUCCAUGUACUGUGACAGACCCAGACCAGU
rnacentral:sRNA from 1 species